rnacentral:rRNA from 1 species
AUUGAACGCUGGCGGCAGGCUUAACACAUGCAAGUCGAGCGGGGUGAUGGUGCUUGCACUAUCACUUAGCGGCGGACGGGUGAGUAAUGCUUAGGAAUCUGCCUAUUAGUGGGGGACAACAUCUCGAAAGGGAUGCUAAUACCGCAUACGUCCUACGGGAGAAAGCAGGGGAUCACUUGUGACCUUGCGCUAAUAGAUGAGCCUAAGUCGGAUUAGCUAGUUGGUGGGGUAAAGGCCUACCAAGGCGACGAUCUGUAGCGGGUCUGAGAGGAUGAUCCGCCACACUGGGACUGAGACACGGCCCAGACUCCUACGGGAGGCAGCAGUGGGGAAUAUUGGACAAUGGGGGGAACCCUGAUCCAGCCAUGCCGCGUGUGUGAAGAAGGCCUUAUGGUUGUAAAGCACUUUAAGCGAGGAGGAGGCUCUUUUGGUUAAUACCCGAGGUGAGUGGACGUUACUCGCAGAAUAAGCACCGGCUAACUCUGUGCCAGCCGCCGCGGUAA